GAUUAUACAAGGCAAAACUUGAAUCAACUACCUCAACUCUACUGACUGUCUAUGAAGCCUCGACCUCCAGCUAUCCCUAAUCAAAAUGACUGAAUAAAGGAGAAAAUACAAAAUUAUACUUGACUUGAGUCCUCGAAUCAAAAGAACCCAUCACCUACUGAUUGGAAGCUGCAAAUUGGCUGAGUCUGAAUGUGCAUACUAAAACUUGUACCUACAUUAUGAGACAAUGUAGCACAUAGACAUAUAUGUGGAUCAGUACUUUGAGGAUGUACUGAGUAUAUGGGGGUGAAUGCAUAAGUAAAAACAUAUCUCAUAAUCAUCAUUUAUAAAAUAAUGCAUGCUUAAUAUAAGUGACUCACAUAAGCUGAAAUAUCUGAAAUACUGAAAUAUGUAGCAAUAAGAAGUGAAGCAUGCUUUAUAAAUCUCGUGAGCCACAACAUUUAGUUCUAAAAGUUGUACUUGAAUUCUCUUGUGAAAAUCAUAUUGCCUAAGUGUAGAAAUGACUCACUCUUUAAAUCUAACUUCGUGAGCCUUUACACUUAGUUUUAUAAAAGCUUUUCUAUCAUUAUUUUCUUUUGAAACUUAGAGACUUUAGGAUCUUUGGAAUUCUUUUUGGAACUUAGGGACUUUGAGCUUGGGAGUUUCUUCUAACCGACAUAAACCAUGUGAGCUGACAUGAAGUCCAACGUCUUGCCCACGUUGGGGAGAGAUGUUCUAUCCUUGCCAUCAGAAUAGAAGCUCAACUUUAGUGAUCACUAUCUUAGCCCACUAUGGAAAAAUUAGAAACCUACGGUGAAACGUAGUUCGGGGACAUGAGACCUUGGAAUCAUACCCAACUUAGUGCUAAAUACUACUCUCAUACUUAAUGCCUAGAACUUUUUAGGAAAAUCCACCUUAAAAUAGCACAAUGGUCUAUAAUGAAAAUCAAUUAUGUUUCUCUUUACUUUGAAUCAUGAACUAGAUGAAUAACGUGGAUUCCCUAUCUUAGCUUAGGAUCAAAAGAUCAAAUCUUGUUUACAAAAGUCAUCUUUCUUGAAUACCAAGACUGAAACUUAUGGCUUACAACCCAUACUUGGAAAUUAUGUCAAAUCAUAAUAAACUUCAUGCUCACAAUAAUAGUAUUGAAAUACUUUAACAAACUCAAAAAUUCAUCUUUGGUUUUAAAGCAUAUAUAUAUUUAAAUGAUCACGAUUUCAUAAUGAAGCUUAAUUCUUGACAACUAUCUUGAAACACUUGAAAAUAGCAAUUUACAAUAGGGAUGUACAAUUCAUGGUAUAAAUCCUCAAUUCAAAGCAUAAAUAGGUGGAAUAAAGAUGCACUUCAAGUCUUAAACCACUUACAAGUUCAUAAACUUAAACAAGAUACUUUGGGCAUAUAAACCCCAACUUUCAAAUCAUAAAAUCUUUAAUAAAAUUCAAGUUUUGGGGCACAAGAAUGAAAGUUUUGUUCUUGUUCAAACCCCACAUACCUUAAUAGAUGAUCUUUGAUGAAUUGAAUGCAAAAUCUUGAAUCUUGGACUUCUAUUGAUACUUUGGUGAUGAAUUAUUAGAGCUUUUGUAUUGGGAACCCUUAAUCUUGAAUUUCCUUGGAGAAUAAUUGGAGGAAUUUGAAUUUCUUGGGAGGAAGUUUGAUGAGCUGGGGUUUUGCUUCUUGAGAUGAAAAGAUGAAUAAUGAAGUAUCUUUGCUUCUUUGGGGGUGAAAUUAUGUGUUUUGGACGGUUUUGGGUGAGGGGAAUUGACCAAAGUGCUAGGACCUUUUGGAAUAGAAUUAGAAUGAAACAUAGCUUUGGAUCCACGUUAAUUUUUUGUGUUAAGUCACAGUCGACGUGAUGUGUCAAGAUCGCAUCGGCUCACUGCCUCACAUGAAAAAUGCCAUAACUUUUUACUCGGUUAUCGAAUUUUUGCAAAAUUGGUAUUCUUGGAAAGCUAAUGCAAUUAACUACAAUUUGGUGGGUCUUGAGAUGAAAAAUUAUACGUAUAUAAAAAGUUAUACACAUUUAAAGUAGAUCUUUGUAGAAUCUAAUAUCAAACUUUGGACAAAUCAAAGGAUCUUAGCUCCACUAGGCUCUAAGUGACUUCUAUGAACAUUCUUCACCUCAAAAGCUUAUCAAACAUGAGGAUAAAGAUCAUGAAACUUAUAUUCACAUGGGAAUCACUAGGAUUAUAGAUUAUACAUGUAAGAACGACGGUUCAUAGACUAACCCAAAAAUGUGGGGUAUUAAAAAUGCAUUAGACAACACGCAAGGGCCCAUCUGUGAUAUUGGUAACAACAAGAUCCCCUAGCCAUGGGAGGUAGCCAUAUCAAUCCAAAUAAGGCACUGGACCCUAGGCUUGUCUAGCAAGUCAGAUACUAAAAGGAUAUAAGAAUUCAGCAGGGAGGAACUCUGAACUCUGAAUUCUGGGAUUGAAUAGUAUAUUGCCUUUCACAAGAUACAAAUAAUGCAUGAAAGUUACCAUGUUAAAAAAAAGAUACAAAUAAUGCAUGAAUUAGAGAAACUUUGAAUUCUCGGGUUAAAUAAUAUAAUGACUUUCAGAAGAUACAAAUAACCAGGUGUUUAUACAUUGAUACAUUUGUGCUGAGGCAAGUAAAUAAAUCCCAUGAUUUGUUUUAUUACAUUGCUUGUUGACUUUUACUGAUGAAACACUUAUCCCUCGUUUCUUUAUUGAACAUAUUUAGUCUUCUUUUCUCUCUUUGACAGCUAGGUAUAGUGUGCGAUCCUUCGGAAUCAGGCGUAAUGAGAAGAUAGCUUGCUAUGUUACUAUCAGAGGAGAUAAAGCUAUGCAGCUCCUUGAGAGUGGGUGAAGGAGGUUAAAUUAGUUACAAUGGCUACUAAUAUAUACUAAAGAUACUGUAAUGGUUUCAUGUCAAGGACAACAACGGAUGCAUAUCCAUGAUAUAAUAAGGAUUUCCUAAAGGAGAAAAUGCUUGAACAUGAGUCCAUAUUCAAGAAUUAGGUAAUUUUGGUUCUAGUAGUCAAUGUUUUCUUUCUAAUAAUUAGAAGAAUACUUAAGUUGCUUCGUGAUCAAGAAAAGGAUCUUUAGUUGUAAGUUUUGUUCCACAACUGGUGAUUUUCUUUUGUUGAAAAAAAUGAGUUUAGGUCUACUACUACAUCCUCCUAAAAUUAAUGGUACGACUACUUCACAGGUAAGUACCACAGGUAAGUUACAUGAGAUCUAACAACGUAAAUGACCAUUAGUUGAAUGACCCAGCCAAUUAAUGGUACUUCAAGUAAGUUAAAUGACCUAACUAAUUAAUGGUACUACUACUUCACAGGAAGGUUAUAGCAACUAUUCUAGUAUUCCACUCUUCACAGUCUCAUGUCCCUGAGUAGAUGGAUGAGAUACAUGACCUAUCAAACUAGUAUAAAAGACAGAGUUGUUCUGAUUCUAAGCACGCCUCACUUCCAACCUAAAGAUUAUGAGUUCCAGUCAGCAAGUUGCUACAAUUACAGUAAAAUAAAACCUCAUUCAGACACCAACCAUAUACAUGAAAGAUUAACCUCGAUCAGCUACCAACCAAAAUAGAACCUCAUUCAGCAAAAUAGAACCUUGAAAAGAAUUAACAAAAAUUACAUGUUACAUACACCAACCGCUUGCUACAGUUCAUGCAUUUCAAAUUUUUCAAACAAAUACAAUAAAUAUACAGAGGGGUGUGAGAAGGUAUAUGGUUACUAACUUGGAGAGCAUAAGGUAGUGGUCAUUCAUUUGAAAUUGGCAAUGUUGUAGCUCUGACUUCUUGUUGUUGAGCAGCAAAGAAUUCUUUCAUUUUCCUUAUUUCUUUCAUCUCAUCUUCUAAGGU
rnacentral:lncRNA from 1 species